AUUGACAACUAGAAAAGUCAAAAUGCGACACUAGUGGGAAGUAGAAGCAACUACGUAUACACAUCAAAAAUCGGGAUCCAUAAGCAUUACAUGUGUUUUCAAUCAGCACUCAAGUUCUAACCAAAAAAUUGAAAGCCAAAAGCGAAAACAAAGAUCCAAAGACUGCUGUAUUCCUCACAAUUCCAGGAUUAAGUGCAGAAUCCACCCAAAUGGAUAUUUCUAUUUCAUUCUAUGACAUAGUGCAGUACUUUGAUGGGGUGAAGAGGUCCAUUAAGGAAGGAGAGGAAAUAGUGAAGGCAGGCUGGGUGUAUGCUAUUGGCCUAUCACCACCUCCUUCUACAAACGAAGUCACAGCCAUAGUUGUUGCUGUCUCUUCCAUGACCUCGAAGCCCCAUGAAGUUAAAUUGAAAACUCUUC